rnacentral:rRNA from 1 species
AUUGAACGCUGGCGGCAUGCCUUACACAUGCAAGUCGAACGGCAGCACGGGUGCUUGCACCUGGUGGCGAGUGGCGAACGGGUGAGUAAUAUAUCGGAACGUACCUUAUUGUGGGGGAUAACGCAGCGAAAGCUGUGCUAAUACCGCAUAAUCCCUAAGGGGGAAAGCGGGGGACCGUAAGGCCUCGCGCAAUUAGAGCGGCCGAUACCUGAUUAGCUAGUUGGUGAGGUAAAGGCUCACCAAGGCAACGAUCAGUAGCUGGUCUGAGAGGACGAUCAGCCACACUGGGACUGAGACACGGCCCAGACUCCUACGGGAGGCAGCAGUGGGGAAUUUUGGACAAUGGGGGCAACCCUGAUCCAGCAAUGCCGCGUGAGUGAAGAAGGCCUUCGGGUUGUAAAGCUCUUUUGUCAGGGAAGAAACAGCAGCUCUAACACAGUAUGCGAAUGACGGUACCUGGAAAAGAAGCCUCGGCUAACUCCGUGCCAGCAGCCGCCGUAA